ensembl:ncRNA asRNA:CR45209 antisense RNA:CR45209
GAAUAGUCUUGCUAAACUGUUAGGCUCAAAGACAUAAUCAAAGUAUUUAAAUUUUUGUCAGUACAAAGAUUUCGUUGGCUGUAGAACGUCUACAUUGGCAAUACUGAUUACGCUAAACUCACUUUAAUUGGCCGCUCCAUGCAGGGACGGGUGUAGCGGAAAUAUAGAACCGCCGACACCGACAACAUUAUAAAGAACGAUUCCACAAUGCUGGCGUAGGUGAUCAGCACAUACACAUCGCUCACCACCAGCAUCACAAUGGAGAGAAAGCACUGCCGAGAGGGACACAGUCAAAUCAAUUAGGGAUUAAUUACAUAAUAUCAUUUGUGCGCUAAUUGAGGAGCGCAGCUCACCAGAAAAACGAGCGACGGCAGUGGGGUGUAGCUCUUUACGCUGAUGUGCGACAGAAUCGCCGGCAUGUGUCCAUUGCGGGCACCCACGAAGCAGAUGCGGGAGGAGGUCAUGAUGUGGACGGAAAGGCCGCCAAAAGCAGAUAUGGCCACCAUGAGGGGUAUGAUCAGUGAAAACACGCCGAGAAUCUUAUCGCCAAAGGUCUGUGAAGAGAAGUGAUCAAUUAAAAUCAUUUGAAAAUCCACUGGUUUAAUUGACUUUUGCGAUUCCGAUCAAAUAAAUUAAAAUUCCCAGCAGUCUAUCGCAAUUUUGCGAAUUUAAGCUACAAAUAGACAAAGUCGGACAUUAUAGGGCUUGCAUUAUGCUUGAUAACUAACAGAUUUUAAGCUUUUAAGUAAAUUAGUAAUUUGACUGCCUAAUCUGAUCGGACUGCAAAUCGUGGAUAAACUCUUACCACAGCGAUGGCAUUGGAUGCGAUCAUCUCCGAGGGCGACAGCACGGCCAGAUAAGCCACAUUGGCCAGCACAUAAAUGCCGGUGACCAGAGGUAGGGAGAUGUAAAUGGCGCGCGGCAGGUUGCGAUAUGGAUCGCGGAGCUCCUCCGUCAUGAAGUUCAAGUAAUUCCAUCCGGCAUAGGAAAAGAUACCGGAGUAAAAGGCUACCGACAUCUUGCCGGGAUCAGUCUCAGUGUUAUCAAAGGGUCUCGUGAAGUUCUCCACGUUGCCCAUCAUCAUCCAGACCAGGCCUACCAGGAUGAUCAAGACCAGGGCGGCGAUCUUGGUGAACAUGAUGACGUUUUGCAUCUUGGUGGUCACCUUCAUGUAGUACGAAUUCAGGUAGGUUAGGAAGCAGAUGGUGAUGGCUGCCAGGAGCUGUAACGCUAUUUUGGGAAUCUCACAGGCUCCGCCGAAGAAGGGUUCCAGCACGUAGGAGGCAAAGGUCAGGCCCAUAAUGGCAUUGGUCGUUGGUCUGUCAGAGAUAAGAGCACACAAUCAGUGGAAAUUUUUUUGCAGACUGCAUUCAGACAUAUGUCCUGCUGAUAAUGUCCGCAUGCAAAAGUAGAAAAGCAGAUAUUUUCGCUUAUCGCCGAUCCUAAACAACAAAUAUAGCAGGCAAUAAAACGCUCAAUGCAGAACUCGCGGAACUGUUCAAUAAAUAAACUUAUAUAGCGCAGAUUAAAUGAUAAGGCUCGUUUCACUUUCUAAUGCUCUAAUACACAACCCAUGGCUUAACCUUGAAAAACCGGAUGCAUCCACACCAAUCCGAAGUAUUCCAUUCUUCUAGUCUUAUCUGAGAAGUUAUUAAACUUGACCCAGUCUAAAAAUCAGAUUCUGUAGGACUACUUCACUUCAUUC